CUCAUGGUUUGACAAUCUCUGAAAUGGUAUUGAAGCUUUUGCAAAUCUGGUGGCUUCCACACCUUGACAUGAUCAAGAAGCAAGACAUUUUGAUCAGCUUCCAAAUCUUUAUUACCCAAGCUGGUUUCUAGCACGAGCAGAGCACUCUCCAGGGAUGAUAAGUAUGCUGUCAUAUGCUCCAGGUUUCCACAAGUAGAUCUGUAACCUUCCAGCCCAAUUGCGUUGUCUGGUUUGUUGGAUCCAGG
rnacentral:lncRNA from 1 species